rnacentral:rRNA from 1 species
AUACGGAGGGUGCAAGCGUUAAUCGGAAUCACUGGGCGUAAAGCGCGCGUAGGCCGCUUUGUAAGUCGGACGUGAAAGCCCUCGGCUCAACCGGGGAACUGCGUUCGAUACUGCGAGGCUUGAGUCCUGGAGAGGGUGGCGGAAUUCCGGGUGUAGGAGUGAAAUCCGUAGAUAUCCGGAGGAACACCGGUGGCGAAGGCGGCCACCUGGACAGGUACUGACGCUGAGGCGCGAAAGCGUGGGGAGCAAACAGGAUUAGAUACCCUGGUAGUCCACGCUGUAAACGAUGGAUGCUAGGUGUCGGGGAGCGAUCUUCGGUGCCGGAGUUAACGCAUUAAGCAUCCCGCCUGGGGAGUACGGUCGCAAGGCUGAA